UUCAUAUAUCUUAAAACUUCUGGUUAAAUGAGCCUAAGCUCUUUACAAAAAGUCCAUGCAAAAGUUAAUAUCAUUUUAGAAUACAGUAUAGGAUGUACCGAAUAUUCUUCAGUUUUAUGCAAAACAGAAAUACAACAAAUAGAAUAUCAGAUCUCUGUCAUGGCCAAAAAUAAAUGCAAAAAUGCUUUCUUUUCAAGAAGCCAAGUUCCUGGCUUCUUCCAAGACCUUCAAGGACCCAAUUGACCUCGGAAUCAGCUGUUAAGGAGGAUGAAACCGAUAUCUAAGAAUGGGACAGCGAUAUUGCAUCAGUUGGUCUCCUACUUCAUUUGAUUCCACCAUCAUUACAAGGCUGCAGGGACCUGGAAAAAUGUCAUCCAGUCAAGCUGAAAAACAUCUUCAAAAAGGCACCAACAAGAAGAACAGCUUUAUUGCAUAGAAGAAACCACACAGCCAUACAUGCUCACUGAUUGAACAACAAGGAACAUCAUUCAUGGAUGCUACACAACUGUCAAAUCUACCUGACAUAUUUUUUCAUGUCUAGGUAAAUUUGAUGAUUUUGUGUUUUAUUAACUAUUUUAUGUUUCUGUGCAACACUUAAUGAAUGUAACUGACUAAUUAACCUCUACACAUCUGAUAUAUGCUUUAGAGUUGCCACUUUGCCCAUUUGUUAAAUAAACGUUAAAAUUUAAACGUUAAAA